rnacentral:rRNA from 1 species
GCCGGUGGUCAUAGGAUCAGGGUCACACCCGUUCCCAUUCCGAACACGGAAGUUAAGCCUGAUUCCGCCGAUGGUACUGCAUGGGAAACUGUGUGGGAGAGUAGGUCGCUGCCGGCA